rnacentral:lncRNA from 1 species
AGUAAACUUUUAUAAACUCUUUAAAUGUCUUGAUUGGAUACAAUCAAUCUUUUAAAGUCUUUAAAAAUUUUAAUUGAAUACACCCCUUUAAAACGACUUAUAUUAAAAAACAGGAGAGUAAAAAUAAAUUAAUUGUUUAAUUUCUGAAUUUUAGAAAAAGAUAUUGUACAUCUCAACAUAAUCCACAGUUGGAACCAUCCAACUUAAUGCUGAUUGGAACCAUCGGCGAAUCAGUGAUGGGUGAGGGAGAAGUCUGGACCCUUGUCAAGACCUCCGUCAUAUUUGAUGCCAGAUUAUCAAGGAUGGCUUCGGUGGAGUCGGUCAUGGAUGUCGAGCAAAAUCUGGACCAGCUUGAUCAAGAAACAGAGAACCUAAGAUGAUGCUUUGAUACCAUGUCAAAAUGUAAUGUUUCUAUA